AGGGUUCGAUUAUGGCUCAGGAUGAACGCUGGCGGCGUGCUUAACACAUGCAAGUCGAACGGGAAAUAUUUCAUUGAGACUUCGGUGGAUUUGAUUUAUUUCUAGUGGCGGACGGGUGAGUAACGCGUGGGUAACCUGCCUUAUACAGGGGGAUAACAGUCAGAAAUGGCUGCUAAUACCGCAUAAGCGCACAGAGCUGCAUGGCUCAGUGUGAAAAACUCCGGUGGUAUAAGAUGGACCCGCGUUGGAUUAGCUGGUUGGUGGGGUAACGGCCCACCAAGGCGACGAUCCAUAGCCGGCCUGAGAGGGUGAACGGCCACAUUGGGACUGAGACACGGCCCAG
rnacentral:rRNA from 1 species